rnacentral:rRNA from 1 species
UGGGAAUCUGCCCUUGGGUUCGGGAUAACAGUUGGAAACGACUGCUAAUACCGGAUGAUGACUUCGGUCCAAAGAUUUAUCGCCCAGGGAUGAGCCCGCGUAGGAUUAGCUUGUUGGUGAGGUAAGAGCUCACCAAGGCGACGAUCCUUAGCUGGUCUGAGAGGAUGAUCAGCCACACUGGGACUGAGACACGGCCCAGACUCCGUACGGGAGGCAG